AACUGAAACAUCUAAGUACCCCGAGGAAAAGAAAUCAACCGAGAUUCCGAAAGUAGCGGCGAGCGAAAUUGGACUAGCCCUUAAGCUUUACACGCGUUAGACGAACGGUCUGGAAAGUCCGACGAUACAGGGUGAUAGUCCCGUAGUUGACGACGUGUGUUCAGUGAAAUCGAGUAGGGCGGGACACGUGAUAUCCUGUCUGAAUAUGGGGGGACCAUCCUCCAAGGCUAAAUACUACUGACUGACCGAUAGUGAACCAGUACCGUGAGGGAAAGGCGAAAAGAACCCCUGUGAGGGGAGUGAAAUAGAACCUGAAACCGUGUACGUACAAGCAGUAGGAGCAGGCUUUGUCCUGUGACUGCGUACCUUUUGUAUAAUGGGUCAGCGACUUAUAUUCAGUGGCAAGGUUAACCAUCUAGGGGAGCCGUAGGGAAACCGAGUCUUAACUGGGCGUUCAGUCUCUGGAUAUAGACCCGAAACCAGGUGAUCUAGCCAUGGGCAGGUUGAAGGUUGAGUAACAUCAACUGGAGGACCGAACCGACUAAUGUUGAAAAAUUAGCGGAUGACUUGUGGCUAGGGGUGAAAGGCCAAUCAAACCUGGAGAUAGCUGGUUCUCCCCGAAAGCUAUUUAGGUAGCGCCUCGGACGAAUACUACUGGGGGUAGAGCACUGUUAAGGCUAGGGGGUCAUCCCGACUUACCAACCCUUUGCAAACUCCGAAUACCAGUAAGUACUAUCCGGGAGACACACGGCGGGUGCUAACGUCCGUCGUGGAGAGGGAAACAACCCAGACCGCCAGCUAAGGUCCCAAAUUACUACUAAGUGGGAAACGAUGUGGGAAGGCUCAGACAGCCAGGAUGUUGGCUUAGAAGCAGCCAUCAUUUAAAGAAAGCGUAAUAGCUCACUGGUCGAGUCGGCCUGCGCGGAAGAUGUAACGGGGCUAAGUA
rnacentral:rRNA from 1 species